UGCCAGCAGCCGCGGUAACACGGGGGGCGCAAGCGUUAUUCGGAAUUACUGGGCGUAAAGGGUGCGUAGGCGGCCCAUCAAGUUAGACGUGAAAGCCCCGGGCUCAACCUGGGAAUUGCGUUUAAUACUGGUGAGCUAGAGUACGAGAGAGGAAAGUGGAAUUCCUAGUGUAGAGGUGAAAUUCGUAGAUAUUAGGAAGAACACCAGUGGCGAAGGCGACUUCCUGGCUCGUAACUGACGCUGAGGCACGAAAGCGUGGGGAGCAAACAGGAUUAGAUA
rnacentral:rRNA from 1 species